UUUUCUUCCCGCUUAAUGCAUAUGCAGUCUUAAUAUGUCUUUCUAAUAGCUUCCUUUUCUGUACUUCUCUUUUUCUGUCAGUUGUCAUAAUUUUCUUGUAUUAGUAUCAUUUUCGUAGCCUUUACAUUAAAAAAAAAAUUAUCGGUGUUUAGGUCCAGUUUCUGUAACUUGAUUUAUUUAACAAAGUGUAUAAAGGUACGUCUGGCGUAUUAGAAUCCUAGAAGCGAAAGUGGGAACUUCCGCUUCGCUAGGUCCGCGGCUCCCACCUAUCGAUAUUUGCACGCUUUUUUUUUUUUUUUUGCAGAGGGAGCAUUAAGUAAUGCGUUUGAAAAGUCACGAAGAGCAGUAUACGAAAAGCCUGUCACGAGAGAGAGAGAGAAAAUUUUAUUGCCGCUCAGUGGAUUACUGAGCAGGUGCGGGCCCGUUUCUUUACUACGGGCCCUACUCUUCCCCCAGGAAAAUAAGUGAUGUUAUUUUGAAGGUAGAGGGCCGUAAGGCGCGAGAAAGGCUUAAUCCGACAUGACUGACUCAGUACCAGCGCCGCAGGUGCGAGUAAGUCUUCAUUAUCGACGUCCGGCAUACCUUUAGUCACAGCAUUAUCGACGUUUCUGGCAGGAGGCCUCAGCACAGUCCCUGACUACGGUACCUCUUCGUGUAUAUCGUAUCUUGUAACUCUGUAAUCCUUAACCGAUAAAAUACGAUUGACUCGAUUUGAUUUCAAGUCUCACUAUUUUCUGGAUGCAUUCGCCUCAUUCCCGGCAAGAGCUCAUCGAUAGGGAGUUGACUUAAUUAUGAAACCACGCAGUCUCGGCGACAGAAGUUAAUGGAACAUAAUCGAAAAAUUCGCUCCAGCGCGAAGGCUUUUGUCGGAGAUGCCAAAUUGCUUUCUGCCCUGCUGCUGCAGCUCGUACAGGUUUCCUGCAGACUCGUCGUGAGGUCACGGAUUUCUAAUCGAGUCCAGUUAAUUACUUAUCGGUGAAGCAGGACUGCAUUGCCAUCUCAAAGAAUCUCAAUAUCAACCUAGCAAGCUUGGAUAAAGUUUCCUUGUUCAAAACGGCACAACUGAUUUGAAAUCCGUGACGUCACACUCGCGUGACGGCGCUGUGGUUCCGGCCCGAAAUUUUUUUUGUAUUUAAUAAGGAGGAUGUUCCUCGCUUUCCUUCAAUCCACUGCUAUAGCCAUACGUCUUGCUGCAAAUAAAUGAAAAUGAGUUUUCGAGUGCUGUACCUUACAAACAGCAUUAAUGUCGCUAUUUAGUGUCCCUUUAAAUGAUCCUCUACGCUGCAUUUGGUUACCUAACCUAGACGUUCGCCGCAGGUGUUGGCACAAGACGAUCCAGGAGCCGAACGACAAGCCGUCACCGCGAAACUGUGGUACACAGAGCCGCUCGUUCGUGAGGCUGGCUGGUGCGGCUCCGCCGCUCAAGAGCCAAAGGGAAUGGAGGAGAGGAGACGCUGAGUGGUAGAACGGCGUGGUCCUAAAAGGAGCGGUUGGGAUGCCCAACACCCGGAGACGAGAGAAGCAAGACCCGUUUCUACUUUGGCUUGUUGGCUGUAGAACGGAAUUAUUCGGACUAUGUUGCUGAGAAAUCAAGUACGCCGCAUGCCACCCACGUCCUCCACGACGAGAGACCGAGGAAGAAGCCAACGGAGCAUGGACGCGAAUGUAUCCGACGAGGUUUCAAAUAAAAGCUUCCAACAGGUUCGAAGAGUCAAGACUACUAGCUAUCAUUCUGAUCAUUCAUCCGAUGGAUCAGACGGUUUUGACGCCUCUACCAUUUCACGCAGAAAAUCCCAACGUUCGCAACAUCCACAUUUUAGACGCGACGCGCACUGCAACCGAAGGGCCGCGUCGUAUGUGCACCACAUGUCUCUCCUACAGAUAACGUCACCGCAAGCGGCGAAGUGUAUACGCGGAGGCAAUGGUCUCGCCCACCCGUCCCAGCACUCCACUCCGCUUUGGUGCACAACGCCCCCCUCUACCCGCGCUUUCGCUGUGGCUCCGUGCCGCUUGCACGAUGCCGGAGCCACGUGAUGACGAGAAAAAAAAGCAUUCCUUUCUGCCACCGGCACCGCGCAUUCCAGAUGUUGGCGAAGGAUGUGUAUGUGUUCAGUAGUUUACCAAUCUCCUCCGCACUCUUGCGUGGCGAAAAAAGAACAAAAAACGAAACAAAAACAAAAUGUACGAUACACUUUCUUGUGCCUCGACGUUGAAUGGUCCUGUCACUGACAGCCCCGCACCCUUCCGCUAACCUCCGCGGGGCACUGCUCAGGCAUCAUCGCUCUGCCUUUCACGAGUUUUGUUCGAAAUUCUUCCCGCUGGCAAACA